rnacentral:lncRNA from 1 species
AAAAAAAACGCGUCCUUUUUUGAAAAAAUGAGAUGAUCCCACUUCUAUAACUUACCGUCCCGUUACCUCUCAUUCACACCACAGCUUCCCACUUCCAUUUGCUUCCUCAAAAAUGACUUCAAUUUCCUCUUCAAUAAUCUCAACACUUAUUUUUUGUCUAAACACAAAAAUCUCAAAUCAAGAAACAAUUAUUUCUCAAAUGGGUGGUUAUAAAACGCAUAAUUCUUUCAGAAAAGCUUUAAAUUUGAGUUUUCAACUACUGAUUAUUGGUGCAAGAAGAAGAAAAAAAUCGCAAAUGAUUAGUAGUUAUAAAACUGACAAUUAAUUCAGUAAAAAAAACUCUAGUUUUGAAUAUUACCAGGUUGGGAGGUUUUCAAAACGGAGAAUGUUGUCUUGAAUCUAGGCCGUUUAUGACGGCGUAGCGGUGGGCGAAGAGGAGAGAAGAGAUGGGAGUGAUUGGGUAGCAGCGGCAUUUCAGUCCCAAAAAUGUAGAAAGAAAAGGAAAAAAUAUGUUGAAAGAAAUACACUUCAUCAAUUACACUUCAAAAAAGAAAUAAAAGUAGAAAAAAAAAUUAUAAAUUUUAAUACACUUUUUCAAUUCAUUAUUGAAAAAAAGAAAGAAAAAAUUAUAACCAAUUUAAUUUUUUACAUAGCAAAAAUUUAUCAAGACUAUAAAUUCAUGGUCAUUGUCAUCAAUUGAAUUGCAGGAAGAAAAACUGGGAUGGUUUUGAAGAAGAAAGAAUAGUGGGAGG